GAGAGAGAGAGAGAGAGAGAGAGAGAGAGAGGGAACAGCGAGCUCGAGCUCUGACCCUUCGAUCGGCUGCAAUUCGGCGAGAUUGAUAGAGAAAUUGGGAGGAGGCGAAGAGAAGACGAGCUCACAGUCAGAUACAGCGUUGCGAGAGGAUUUGAACGAGGUCCUUCUCGGUCGGCGAGGCGGUGAAUAUCUCCCUGGUUGCUUCGAGAACUCCAAAAGGGUUUUAUGCAAAAGAGGAUGAGAUUUUUAUCGGCAUUGCUCUCUCGGAGCGAAUUAGGUAUAGUUCUAUGGAUGAAAAGGAGCGAAUUUUGAUCCUUGAUGACCUUAGAAGUGGCAAAGUGAAGAAGGGGAUUGCCGUCUACUUGUUUGUGAUUGAUCUGGUGACCCUUGAUGGAUACUGUUUACUGAGAGAUGCCGCCACCUCCGCUGCCACUUCCACCGCAGCAAUCACGGAUCAAUCUCAGUGAUUUGAAAUCGCAAAUUGUGAAAAAGCUGGGCCCAGAGCGAAGUCAGCAUUACUUUCAACACCUCAACCGAUUGCUGUCUCAGAAGCUCAGCAAAUCUGAAUUCAACAAGCUUUGUCUUUCAAUUCUUGGACGAGAGAAUGUUGCCUUGCACAACCAGCUCAUUAGGUCGAUCCUCAGGAAUGCAUAUUUUUCGAAAGUUGCUCCUCCGGUUGCUCAUAACAGGAACAUUGGGAAGGCUGUUAGUGAUGCUGGAUCGAAUUUGUCUCCUGCUCCGAUGCCGCCAGUUUGGUCAAAUGGGGACAUCUUAUCUCCAUCUCCACGCAAAUCAAGGUCUGGUAUUCGGAGGAUCAAAGAUCGGCCGACUUCUCUUGGGCCCAACACCAAGGUGGAUGCUUCCACACACCAAUCUUUUGUAACAUCUGAUGAGUUUGUUGUAAGGGACAAUGGUGAAUUGAGCCCUUAUGGUUUUAAGAGAUCAGUGCAGCAGCAGCAUCAUCAAGCUUGGAAUUUAGAGCAGCCAGUAAAGAAACAGCGGACAGAGAAGCCUUUACCAAAUGACCAGCUGUCUGUGCAUGGUGAUCUGGUUGAAUCAGCGGCAGUUGGAGAUCAGGAAGAAUUGGAAUUAAGAAAUGUUAUGAAAUCCUUGAAAGGCACCCUCCAGGCUCCACUUGGAAUUCCUUUUUGUCCUGCUAGUGUUGGUGGGGCACGAAGAUCUUUGCCAUCGAAUAUCAAUGUUGAUACUGUUAGUGCUAUUUCCAACUACGAUACUGGAGAAUUAUGUAAAAGUGAGGAUUUGAGAACACGAAUGGAGAAAAUAGCACAAGUCCAAGGAUUGGGAGGAGUGACUCUUGAAUGUGCUAAUUUAUUGAAUAAUGGUUUGGAUGCUUAUUUGAAGCAAAUGAUUAAGUCAUCUCUUAAGCUUGCAAGAGCUAGAAUGAGACAUGAACUAUUAAUGCAACCUCUGUACAAACAGCAACCUCUUGGACGGCCAAUCAAUGGUGUCUGGCCAGGAAACUACAUGCAUGGACAAAGUAGUGGUGGGCCUUUGGAGGGAACAAACAAGGGGAAAAACCAUUGUCCUAUAUCUCUGCAGGAUUUUAAAGUGGCAAUGCAACUAAAUCCACACCAACUUGGGGAAGACUGGCCAUUGUUACUUGAGAAAAUAUGUCUCCAUUCAUUUGAGGAAUAAAACAAACCCACAUAAAGUUUCUUUUUCUGUCAAAAUUAUGCAUCAGUUUGUCUCUGGUGUCCUAUGGCCAAUCCAAUAAGGCCAGUGUGGACAGAAUCAGACUCCUUGCCACUGCUCAAAUUGUCGAUUGGUAGAAUUUCAUCUGGUCCAAGCAGAAGAAAUCCUGCUGAGUGUCAUUAAAACAAUACAUGACUUCUUUUCUUGUAUCUUUCUCUCCUGAGAGAUCGUCAGAAAUCCUUAUGUUCUGUCCACGUGUUGUACAUGAGCAUCAUUACAGAGCCUCGCUACUAGAAUUGGACAAGUUGAGCCUUUGUGUAAUUUACAGUGAAUUCGAACAGAAUUUGAAGACAGUUUUGCGGGAAUACAAUCACUUAAUUUGGAUACGCAUACAGCCAUGUUCUAACCAGCCUGCUAGUGGGAAUGAGGAAUUGAUUUUAAUUUCCUUCGAAGGAUAAGCUUCUAAAGCCCAUGAGGUCAACUCAACUGUUAAACAGAACUUAUGUUUCAAAUUAUCUAUGAAUGCCAUAGAUAGAUGUGCUAUCAUCUUUCUCUUUUUGAAGUUGGAGAAUGAAUGCACUUCAAUAACAGCCAUGCUUAUGUAUGACUAUUGACUGUGCAUCUAGGUUUGUACAAAUGGGAAGAAGAGAAGCUCCUUCAGGAUCAUCAAAUUGUCUUCCCCCACAUGCGCUGAAGUUGAUUUUGAACCACUGGGGUGAUGGUCAUAUAUAAUUUAAUUCAAAGUGUCAUGUUUGACAUAUGCUGCACAUGUAUAUUGGCCUAAAUCACACAUCUUAUUGUAGACCUUGGUAGAAAAAAAAUCUUUCAACUUGGUUGUGAUUGAUUCUAUUUUGCUAAUUCUUUUCUUCUUCUUUUUUUUUUCAUGUAAAAUAUGCUGUCCCAAUUUUAUAUUUCUAUAUAUAUUUCUAGCCAUUUGUGAUAAGCGUGUAGGUAAACAUGUAUAUGGAGCCAUGACAGUAAGCAAUUGAGGUAAUAGAGCUGUGUACAGAUGUUAGUCUACAUUGGAUAUUUUCUUCUCUUUAGUAUACUUGUUCUUGAAACUUUUCAUUGGUCUCCUAUCAAAUAUGGUUUACUUAAUGUAGCAUGUUAAAAAUGUAGAUAUUCUGCUAGACAAUCAUCUUAGUUUGGCGAAAACGGGUACCAGACAGGGUUUUAAGGAAAGUGCAUUUGAUCAUUUGUCUUCAUGAACUCAUUAUUAAUUUGUCUGAUUUAAAAUGGUAGAAGGAUACUUUUCCCUACUUUAUUCAUUCUGUAUAAGCUUCCAUUGAAAUUAUUAGACUUACAAGGAUCCAUGUCUGCAGGGUUAAAGGGUAAAUUAUGGCAAAAAUGGUUAUAGUAUUUACCAUGCUAAAUCAGAUAAAGAAGUUGCAAUUCCUGAAUCAUUUCUAGUUUUUCACAAAUGUAAAUGGGCGGAAAAGCAUAUGCCAGGAAACAUUAUUAGUUUUUGACAGAUACAGCAUGGAUUAUCUAUUCAACUAACCAUAGAGAACCACAUAAUAUGAUGACCGGAUAUUAGUGAAAAUACUUAGAUGUGUAGACUCUUUCCCAUAAAAGUGUGUAGGACUGCAUUUAGAGGAAGAAGAAACUGUCAUCUGCAGGGUCAGUGUACUCUCCUGAGUAUUAGUUUGAGCACUUACCUUUAACUCUGUUACUCUCCUAUUUACUAUUGGUUACUAAUUAUACUGUAUUCUGUUAAUCAUUUUAACAAAUGGAAAAUAAAAAUUAUUACCUUUCUCUGCUGUUAUAUAUUUUAUCAGAUCUCUUACAAAAUUUCUUCCUAUGUGAAUUUAUUCAGUUGAUCACAUCCAAUGGAAGUGAAUAUCACUUCUUUGUUUAGUUGUUGCGCACUCUCUAUUGAUUAAGCGUGAAAGGAACAACUGCUUAAUUAUUCUUGAUCAUGCUUACCUUUAAGCAAAUGACUAGAUAGGUUUAGCAGAUGUAGCUCACUGACAUGGUGAAUAUAUUAUUGAUAACUUGUUUUUGUUGUUCAAUU